rnacentral:rRNA from 1 species
CAUGGCCGUUCUUAGUUGGUGGAGCGAUUUGUCUGGUUAAUUCCGAUAACGAACGAGACUCCGACAUGCUAACUAGUUACUCGACCCCCGUGCGGUCCGAGUCCAACUUCUUAGAGGGACAAGUGGCGUUCAGCCACACGAGAUUGAGCAAUAACAGGUCUGUGAUGCCCUUAGAUGUCCGGGGCUGCACGCGCGCCACACUGAGCGGAUC